GGCGAGGAACAGGCAUAGAGUGAAGUACCUAUGUAGGAUGUUUUGCGCCGAUGGGGAAGUGAAGAAAAGUAAAUAAGUUGACGAAUCCACGCUGGCGAGAAAAGUCGCUAAAUAAGGUCGGAGGCACCCGUACCGCAAACCGACACAGGUAGACGCGAAGAAAAUUCAUAGACGAACGGGAGAACCCUUGUUAAGGAACUCGGCAAAAUGACCCCGUAACUUCGGGAGAAGGGGAGCCACCGAGAGGUGGUCGCAGUGAAGAGGUCCAAGCAACUGUUUAGCAAAAACACAGGUCUCUGCGAAAUCGAAAGAUGACGUAUAGGGGCUGACGCCUGCCCAGUGCCGGAAGGUUAAGGGGAGAUGUUAGGAGCAAUCCGAAGCGUUGAACUUAAGCCCCGGUGAACGGCGGCCGUAACAAUAACGGUCCUAAGGUAGCGAAAUUCCUUGUCGGGUAAGUUCCGACCCGCACGAAAGGCGUAAUGAUUUGGACGCUGUCUCAACAGGGGGCCCGGCGAAAUUGUAGUAUACGUGAAGAUGCGUAUUAACCCGCGACUGGACGGAGAGACCCCGUAGAGCUUUACUGUAACUUGAUAUUGAUGCACGACAAGGAAUGCACAGGAUAGGUGGGAGACUUGGAGGCAGGGACUUUGGUUUCUGCGGAGUCGGCGUUGGGAUACCACUCUUUCCUUGUUGGGCAUCUAACGGACGGCCGUGAGCCGGCGUACGGACAGUGUCAGGUGGGCAGUUUGACUGGGGCGGUCGCCUCCUAAAAUGUAACGGAGGCGCCCAAAGGUUCCCUCAGGAUGGUUGGAAAUCAUCCUACGAGUGUAAAGGCAGAAGGGAGCUUGACUGCGAGACCGGCAGGUCGAGCAGAUACGAAAGUAGGGCUUAGUGAUCCGGCGGUAGAGAAUGGAAUUGCCGUCGCUUAACGGAUAAAAGUUACCUCGGGGAUAACAGGCUGAUCUCCCCCAAGAGUUCACAUCGACGGGGAGGUUUGGCACCUCGAUGUCGGCUCGUCACAUCCUGGGGCUGAAGCAGGUCCCAAGGGUUCGGCUGUUCGCCGAUUAAAGUGGCACGCGAGCUGGGUUCAGAACGUCGUGAGACAGUUCGGUCCCUAUCCAUCGUGGGCGUAGGAUAUUUGAGAGGCUUUGUCCCUAGUACGAGAGGACCGGGAUGAACGCACCUAUUGUGCACCUGUUGUCGUGCCAACGGCAUAGCAGGGUAGCGAAGUGCGGAUGAGAUAAACGCUGAAAGCAUCUAAGCGUGAAACUCGCCUCAAGAUAAGAUAUCCCAAACGAAAGUUUGUAAGACCCCUGAAAGACGAUCAGGUUGAUAGGUCGGGAGUGUAAGCGCUGUAAGGCGUUAAGCUGACCGAUACUAAUAGGUCGAGGGCUUAUUC
rnacentral:rRNA from 1 species